GACGAACGCUGGCGGCGUGCUUAACACAUGCAAGUCGAACGAAGAGCGAUGGAAGCUUGCUUCUAUCAAUCUUAGUGGUGCACGGGUGAGUAACGCGUAAUCAACCUGCCCUUCAGAGGGGGACAACAGUUGGAAACGACUGCUAAUACCGCAUACGAUCUAAUCUCGGCAUCGAGGAUAGAUGAAAGGUGGCCUCUACAUGUAAGCUAUCACUGAAGGAGGGGAUUGCGUCUGAUUAGCUAGUUGGAGGGGUAACGGCCCACCAAGGCGAUGAUCAGUAGCCGGACGGAGAGGAUGGACGGCCACAUUGGGACUGAGACACGGCCCAGACUCCUACGGGAGGCAGCAGUGGGGAAUCUUCCGCAAUGGACGGAAGUCUGACGGAGCAACGCCGCGUGAGGGAGGACGGCCUUCGGGUUGUAAAGCUCUGUUAAUCGGGACGAAAGGCCUUCUUGCGAAUAGGGAGAAGGAUUGACGGUACCGGAAGAGAAAGCCACGGCUAACUACGUG
rnacentral:rRNA from 1 species